CCUACGGGAGGCUGCAGUGGGGAAUAUUGGACAAUGGGCGAAAGCCUGAUCCAGCCAUGCCGCGUGUGCGAAGAAGGCCUUCGGGUUGUAAAGCACUUUCAGUGGGGAAGAAAGCCUUGGGGCUAAUACCCUCGAGGAAGGACAUCACCCACAGAAGAAGCACCGGCUAACUCCGUGCCAGCAGCCGCGGUAAUACGGAGGGUGCGAGCGUUAAUCGGAAUUACUGGGCGUAAAGCGCGCGUAGGCGGUCUGAUAAGCCGGUUGUGAAAGCCCCGGGCUCAACCUGGGAACGGCAUCCGGAACUGUCAGGCUAGAGUGCAGGAGAGGGAGGUAGAAUUCCCGGUGUAGCGGUGAAAUGCGUAGAGAUCGGGAGGAAUACCAGUGGCGAAGGCGGCCUUCUGGACUGACACUGACGCUGAGGUGCGAAAGCGUGGGUAGCAAACAGGAUUAGAUACCCCUGUAGUC
rnacentral:rRNA from 1 species